ACUCAAAUGAAUUGACGGGGGCCCGCACAAGCGGCGGAGCAUGUGGCUUAAUUCGAUGCAACGCGAAGAACCUUACCUGGGCUUGACAUGCGGGGUAAAGCCGGUGAAAGCCGGUGCUCUACGGAGCCCGCACAGGUGGUGCAUGGCUGUCGUCAGCUCGUGCCGUGAGGUGUUGCCUUAAGUGGCGCAACGAGCGCAACCCUUGUCCUUAGUUGCCAGCGGGUCAUGCCGGGAACUCUAGGGAGACUGCCGGUGCCAAACCGGAGGAAGGUGGGGAUGAGGUCAAGUCAUCAUGCCCCUUAUGUCCAGGGCUGCACACAUGCUACAAUGCGUGGUACAGAGGGCUGCGAUCCCGCGAGGGGGAGCGAAUCCCAAAAAGCCACGCUCAGUUCGGAUCGGGGUCUGCAACCCGACCCCGUGAAGUCGGAGUCGCUAGUAAUCGCGGAUCAGCAAUGCCGCGGUGAAUACGUUCCCGGGCCUUGUACACACCGCCCGU
rnacentral:rRNA from 1 species